AGGUGUGGCUCAGUCUGGUAGAGCGCCUGGUUUGGGACCAGGAUGUCGCAGGUUCGAAUCCUGUCACCU
rnacentral:tRNA from 1 species